UGACAAGGUUGUGAUAACUCAAG
rnacentral:piRNA from 1 species